UACGGAGGGUGCGAGCAUUAAUCGGAUUUAUUGGGCGUAAAGGGCGCGUAGGCGGGGGCAUAAGUCAGAUGUGAAAGCCCGGGGCUCAACCCCGGAACGGCAUUUGAUACUGUGCAUCUAGAGGGUAGGCGGAGAAAAUGGAAUUCCACAAGUAGCGGUGAAAUGCGUAGAUAUGUGGAAGAACACCGGUGGCGAAGGCGGUUUUCUAGCUUAUACCUGACGCUGAGGCGCGAAAGCAAGGGGAUCAAACAGG
rnacentral:rRNA from 1 species